rnacentral:rRNA from 1 species
UACAGAGGUCUCAAGCGUUGUUCGGAUUCAUUGGGCGUAAAGGGUGCGUAGGUGGCGGGGUAAGUCAGGUGUGAAAUUUCGGAGCUCAACUCCGAAACUGCAUUUGAUACUGCCUUGCUUGAGGACUGGAGAGGAGACUGGAAUUUACGGUGUAGCAGUGAAAUGCGUAGAGAUCGUAAGGAAGACCAGUGGCGAAGGCGGGUCUCUGGACAGUUCCUGACACUGAGGCACGAAAGCCAGGGGAGCAAACGGG